rfam:Drosophila pseudoobscura pseudoobscura strain MV2-25 chromosome XL unlocalized genomic scaffold ChXL_group1e, whole genome shotgun sequence.
UCCUCCCCCGUCCUAAACUAAAACUGCAGCGAUGAUUCCACACGUCGUUGUGGUAUUCAAUAGGACCAAACCAAAGCCCAUGAUUUGCUAUUCCUCUUAAGGGCAUUGGCUUGAAUAUGCGAACCUUAAUAAAGUUUAAAAUCAACAUCCACCCACC